rnacentral:rRNA from 1 species
GCAAGUCGGGCGGUAACAGGAAGUAGCUUGCUACUUUGCUGACGAGCGGCGGACGGGUGAGUAACGCAUAGGAAUCUGCCUGACAGAGGGGGACAGCCCGGGGAAACCCGGAUUAAUACCGCAUACGCCCUACGGGGGAAAGCAGGGGAUCUUCGGACCUUGCGCUGACAGAUGAGCCUAUGUCGGAUUAGUUAGUUGGUGAGGUAAAGGCUCACCAAGGCGACGAUCCGUAGCUGGUCUGAGAGGAUGAUC